rnacentral:tRNA from 1 species
UGCCUCGUAGCUCAAUCAGUCAGAGCAUUCGCCUUUGAAGCGAAGGGUUGGCGGUGCGACUCCGCCCGAGGCUGCCA